rnacentral:rRNA from 1 species
GACGAACGCUGGCGGCGUGCUUAACACAUGCAAGUCGAACGGAAAGGCCCCUUUGGGGGUACUCGAGUGGCGAACGGGUGCGUAACACGUGAGUAACCUGCCCUUGACUUCGGGAUAACUUCAGGAAACUGGGGCUAAUACCGGAUAGGAAUCCUUGCUGCAUGGUGGGGGUUGGAAAGCUUCGGCGGUUUUGGAUGGACUCGCGGCUUAUCAGCUUGUUGGUGGGGUAGUGGCUUACCAAGGCUUUGACGGGUAGCCGGCCUGAGAGGGCGACCGGCCACAUUGGGACUGAGAUACGGCCCAGACUCCUACGGGAGGCAGCAGUGGGGAAUAUUGCACAAUGGGCGGAAGCCUGAUGCAGCAACGCCGCGGGCGGGAGGACGGCCUUCGGGUUGGAAACCGCUUUCAGCAGGGGCGAAGCUUGUGGUGACGGUACCUGCAGAAGAAGCACCGGCUAACUACGUG